rnacentral:rRNA from 1 species
CAGUCUUAGUUCGGAUUGUAGGCUGCAACUCGCCUACAUGAAGUCGGAAUUGCUAGUAAUCGCGGAUCAGCAUGCCGCGGUGAAUACGUUCCCGGGCCUUGUACACACCGCCCGUCAAGCCAUGGAAGCCGGGGGUGCCUGAAGUGCGCUGCCGCGAGGAGCGCCCUAGGGUAAAACCGGUGACUGGGGCUAAGUCGUAACAAGGUAAC